UACGUAGGGUGCAAGCGUUGUCCGGAAUUAUUGGGCGUAAAGAGCUCGUAGGCGGUUUGUUGCGUCGGCUGUGAAAUCCCGAGGCUCAACCUCGGGUCUGCAGUCGAUACGAGCAAACUAGAGUGUUGCAAGGGGAGACUGGAAUUCCUGGUGAUAGCGGUGAAAUGCGCAGAUAUCAGGAGGAACACCGGUGGCGAAGGCGGGUCUCUGGGCAACAACUGACGCUGGAGGAGCGAAAGCGUGGGGAGCGAACAGG
rnacentral:rRNA from 1 species